UGCGUAGGCGGUCGGGUAAGUCUGAUGUGAAAUCUUCAAGCUCAACUUGGAAACUGCAUCGGAUACUAUUCGGCUCGAGGAAUGGAGGGGAGACUGGAAUUCUCGGUGUAGCAGUGAAAUGCGUAGAUAUCGAGAGGAACACCAGUGGCGAAGGCGAGUCUCUGGACAUUCCCUGACGCUGAGGCACGAAAGCCAGGGGAGCAAACG
rnacentral:rRNA from 1 species